AGAGUUUGAUCAUGGCUCAGAUUGAACGCUGGCUGCAUGCUUUACACAUGCAAGUCGAACGGUAACAGGCCGCAAGGUGCUGACGAGUGGCGAACGGGUGAGUAAUGCAUCGGAACGUGCCCAGUCGUGGGGGAUAACGCAGCGAAAGCUGCGCUAAUACCGCAUACGAUCUAUGGAUGAAAGCGGGGGACCGUAAGGCCUCGCGCGAUUGGAGCGGCCGAUGUCAGAUUAGGUAGUUGGUGGGGUAAAGGCUCACCAAGCCAACGAUCUGUAGCUGGUCUGAGAGGACGACCAGCCACACUGGGACUGAGACACGGCCCAGACUCCUACGGGAGGCAGCAGUGGGGAAUUUUGGACAAUGGGCGCAAGCCUGAUCCAGCAAUGCCGCGUGCAGGAAGAAGGCCUUCGGGUUGUAAACUGCUUUUGUACGGAACGAAACGGCUCUGGUUAAUACCUGGGGCUAAUGACGGUACCGUAAGAAUAAGCACCGGCUAACUACGUGCCAGCAGCCGCGGUAAUACGUAGGGUGCAAGCGUUAAUCGGAAUUACUGGGCGUAAAGCGUGCGCAGGCGGUUUUGUAAGACAGGCGUGAAAUCCCCGGGCUCAACCUGGGAAUGGCGCUUGUGACUGCAAAGCUGGAGUGCGGCAGAGGGGGAGGGAAUUCCGCGUGUAGCAGUGAAAUGCGUAGAUAUGCGGAGGAACACCGAUGGCGAAGGCAAUCCCCUGGGCCUGCACUGACGCUCAUGCACGAAAGCGUGGGGAGC
rnacentral:rRNA from 1 species